UACGGAGGGUGCGAGCGUUGUCCGGAAUCAUUGGGCGUAAAGGGCGCGUAGGUGGCCUGUGCAAGCGUGCGGUGAAAGCUCGGGGCUCAACCCCGGGUCGGCCGUGCGAACUGCUGGGCUCGAGCACUGUAGAGGCAGGCGGAAUUCCGGGUGUAGCGGUGGAAUGCGUAGAGAUCCGGAAGAACACCGGUGGCGAAGGCGGCCUGCUGGGCAGUGGCUGACACUGAGGCGCGACAGCGUGGGGAGCAAACAGG
rnacentral:rRNA from 1 species